rnacentral:rRNA from 1 species
AUUGAACGCUGGCGGCAUGCCUUACACAUGCAAGUCGAACGGCAGCACGGGAGCAGUCCUGGUGGCGAGUGGCGAACGGGUGAGUAAAGUAUCGGAACGUGCCCAGUCGUGGGGGAUAACGUAGCGAAAGUUACGCUAAUACCGCAUACGAUCUAUGGAUGAAAGCGGGGGAUCGCAAGACCUCGCGCGAUUGGAGCGGCCGAUAUCAGAUUAGGUAGUUGGUGGGGUAAAGGCUCACCAAGCCGACGAUCUGUAGCUGGUCUGAGAGGACGACCAGCCACACUGGGACUGAGACACGGCCCAGACUCCUACGGGAGGCAGCAGUGGGGAAUUUUGGACAAUGGGCGCAAGCCUGAUCCAGCCAUGCCGCGUGCAGGAUGAAGGCCUUCGGGUUGUAAACUGCUUUUGUACGGAACGAAAAGGUUUGGCCUAAUACGCUGAACUCAUGACGGUACCGUAAGAAUAAGCACCGGCUAACUACGUGCCAGCCGCCGCGGUAAUAC